rnacentral:lncRNA from 13 species
AGGUGCUUGAUUUCUGCUGCCAGCGUGACGUCAGAUUGUGUCAGCACGGGGUGCUCGAUUUGUGCUAGCAAUCUGCCGUCAAAUUGUGCAUGUCAUGUUCAAAUUCUGCCGCCUAUCUGGCGUCAUGUGCUGGCAACACAACGUGCUUGCCUGGUGCUGUCAUUUCACUCACAUAGGAUAUCAACAGGUUCUGUCAACAAAACAUAAGCAAAAUUUGAGAUCAGUUAAGUUGAGUCUGCCAACAGUAUCUGCUGCCAGCCUGUCGACACAGUGCUAACAUUUUGUUGACUGGGUGUAGAGAAAUCGAAGAUGAUAAGAUUUAAGAAGGGAAGGGGAAGAAAAAAGAAGAGAUGGUAAGCAGGAAGAGCAGGAAAGGGAUAGGACAAGAAGGGGAAUGGCAAUGAUGGGACAAGUUUGGGAAAUAGGGCAAAGAAAGUUUUGGAGGUGGUUGGGAGAAAAGAUGUGGUUUUUUGAUGCAUUAGUAUCGGCGGUAAUGGCAUAUGGGGUGAAAAUUUGAAGAUGGAAGAAGAGAGAAGUAGUGGAGAGAGUACAUGAAAAAUACGUGAAAUGGAAAAUGAAGGUAAGCUGGAAGAUACCGGGAUAUUUGUUAAGGAAGAAUUGCUAAGGGACAAAGUGAAAAAAUGAGCGGAAAGGUCGGCAUGGGAAAGAUUUAAUGCAGGAGAAGAAGUGAAUUGGCAAAGAGAUGUCAGAAAAAGAUGAGAAAAGAGCACAAAGAGAAGGAAGUUGUCAAAUUGGGAAAAAGAAAAAUUGGGUUUUUUCAGGAUAGGGGGAUAGAAUUAGGGAAGAUGGAAAAGGAGAGAGGAGAGGGGAUGUUUGAGUUUUGCAAAAGAAAGGAAAAGGAUAGUGUGAGGCAGAAAGAGAAAUAAUAGAAAAACAUUAAAAGCUCAAGAGGUAAUAAAUAAUAUCAUAAGGUAAAAAAGAGACGGGUUAUUUAAGGAAGAGAUGGACGAAAAA